ensembl:lncRNA
CGCAAAAUAAUGUGGAUGUUUUGAAAGAUAAAGAAUUCCAAGAAAAAUACGAUGUAUGCACUGGUUUGGUUCUUUUUGGCUAAUGCGAACAGGAACUCUCUACCAGAUGCCAUCCCUGUAGCACAGCACGUCAGAAGGCAGCCAUGAGCUAGUGAAUUCAUUACAAGGAGGAAAAUGGGAGGCAGAAAAGAGGUGAGAUUCUUUAAAAGUUCUUCAGUGUAGAAAUUAAUAAAAAGCACUGUUUUGAAGAGUCUGAACUAUGAGAAGCUUCUCAGGCAGAUGCAACGUCGGGCUCAUAAACCUAAUUCGAAUCCAGAGUGCUUUCUGCCAUAUCUGGCUGUAGUGGAAAUAGAUCUCCAAAAUUAGACAGUUUCUGUCUGAGGAUUCAAAUCCAUUCUUGACACUUUGAAGGGCUUCAGUGGUUAGAUGAGGCUUCAGAGGUUACAAGUGUGUUUGUGUACGAUCAGGCCUUUAAAGCCAUUUGGAUUCGGGUCAGCUGUAACAGUGAAGAAGUAAGACUUGUGCUCAAAGCAUUUGCGGAAUAUAACAGGGAGAGGUAGAUGAAUAACUAUUUAUUAAGGGUUUGCAACUGAAAUUUACACAUCUGUGACAGAGAAUGUGCUGCUUGUUUAUGGCCGGGACUUCUAAAGCCUUAUGGUCAGCAAAUGCUGAAGUACAGUUUAUCUUAUUCUCUCUGGAAGUGAUCACUGUGAGAAGUCACUGUGAUCAGCAGAAUGCAGCUUUGCUCCCAGCAGGAGAGGGGAGCACUUUUUCUACUUCGAAAAAUUCAAAAGUUGACUUCAAAACAAGUUGUUGUACAUCUAUCACUGUGCAGGAAUCGUGCUUUGGCUACAAUAUGCUUUGUAAAAAAAAAAAAAAGCAACAAAAAAAACAGAUGCAUUUUCUUGUACGCUCUAAAAAUCUCUUCCUUUCCAAGAAAAGCUGGGAGUGAGCAAUUGUGGAACAAUAUGGACAGGCUGUUGAUAUAUAUUAGUGCUGCCAAAAUGUUUCCCCUUUCUGCCUGGGAAAGGAGCAGGAGAGGGUUAAAGUCCUUACAGACGUAACAGCCAGGCCUGGAUCAUUGCUGUUCUGUACAGUGCAGUGUUCUCCCCACCAUUCCUCCUGCAGUUUGUUUCUUUUUGCUGAGUGUGGAAACAGACCUUUACUUACUCCAAGGUACUGGGGAAUUCACGCAGUAGGUAUGGAAAGUGUAGUGAUAACGUCUGCUUUGGUAUGUACAGCUUUUGGGCAGAGACUUUCUUCCAGAGGAUGGUGAUGUGUCUGAUGCCCUAGAUUUCCCUACCCCAAAAGUCCAAUUAAAAGUUUCCAAACAUAAUCAAAUUCAUUAAUGCACCUCCUGCCUCUUGAAAUGCUAUUCUAAGCACAGUUCUUGUCCCCCAGAGGGGGCCAUUGCUGUCAUUCUUUAGUGGACACCGACGGGAUUUGAAUGUCUCUAAAUUCCACCUCUCUAUUUAACACUUUUCUUUUGCUGCUCUGCUCUUUCACUGUCCAUGGCUCCAAUUUGCUCAUCUGUAUUCAAUUUAUUUGGUGGUUUUGAGAACUGUAGUAGUUAAUGCUGAAAGCCACGAAGGCUGAUAACUAUGAAUCCUUUCAGUACAUCCAUUUAAAAUGAGUGCAGUGCUUGAAAAGGUCUUGAGCAGACAGGAGCAGAACCCAAUGUUCCUGCUUGAGCAGGAAGCCCUACCAAGGCAACAUUCCCCAUAUUUUAUUUAGCAAGAUGCUCUCCCUUGCGUGCGACUGACUCAACAGGCCGUGGCCCCAUAGCUUAAGGGACCUGGCUGCUGUCGUUGGCUCUGCUGUUGAGCUGCCAGCCAGCUGCUCUAUGACCCACCCCUCUUCUUCUUCUGCAGAAAGGAGCUUGCUGCUAGCCAUAACAGCACUCCUGCGGAAGGCACACUGAAGGGAAAGGGAGAGCAGCUCAACAGCUAUUCUAGACUCUCAAACGAGUUUGUGUAUGUGUGCAGUGCUGACUCAUUAGCAUUGCUCUGCCCUCACCUAGGCCAUUUAUAGCUCUGAGAAAGUCUAUCUCUGCCCGUGCUGUAUAAUUCAUUCUAUACUCUUAUGUCAUUGGGCUCAUAAAUACAUUAAUGUACUGUGGUAUGGGUAUACCUGGUCAGUACUGGACUCCGUGAAUGGAGUCGUUGCCUUUUGGUUACCCUAGAAAUAUGCAGUAAAAUAUCACUUAAAUAACAGGAUGAUGUUAAAAUUUGUCUUCUAGCAUGUUUCAAUAUAAAGCUUGGUUUGCCAGUAGCCAGAGCAGUACAAGGCAGAAUUGCUUCUGAGUUUUAUUAUCUAUUAAUUAUGUAUUAUCAUUUAUUAAUAAUUUAUACUGUUUUUUGGAAAGACGUAGGAGCUUGGAGCUAGUUAAACAUGCCUAAGAAUGUCAUCUGUACAAUGAAGGGUCAAAAUAAGCAAGAACUGCACUCAGGGGUCAGCACAAAUAUGGUCCUGCACCUUGUUGUUUCUGACAAAAACGAUGGGAGGGAAGGGAACCACAGCUGCAAUUUGCUCAUGAACAAUUGAAAAUACAGCAAGUUACUGUAGAAGUAGUGGGUGCAGUGGCACAGAUGCAUGUUGUUCCACGAGGGUGAGUUUCACAAUGUGCACAGCAACAGCUGUGCUGGGAUGUGUCUGCAAGAGGGACCAUGAGCUGCUGGGUGCUAAGAAAAGGCAGUGACGUGUAGGAAGGACCUGCAUGCGAGGUGCUUUAGUUAAUUCCAAAUUCUGAUCUCAGCUUUUUCACUGACAUUUCUGUCUGCAUUAAUCUCUUUAUCCGUGAUAUUUCAGACUGGAGAGCCCUAGCCAAAAUCCCACUUACAAGCACUGCCCACUCUUAUUCUGUUAGGGUCUGGAUGGAAGGAGCCCACAUCUCAUCUGCCAUUAAAGUGAUGUCUUUAGAGUUGAUUCCAUUUUCAGUGCAUUUCUGCACUAUUUCUAGAAGCCAACGGAUUUGCUGAGGGGCUGAGCUGGAGGAUAACCAAGGUUUUUGUAAUCUUGAAAUUUUGCAUCUGGAGAUGUUUCUCUUGCUUUAUUUUUUUUUUUUCUUUUUUUUUUCCUGGCAAAUAUUUCUGCUGAAAUAGUACCCAGAGAGUCUCAGUCAGACAGACUUCAGACCCCCAGACAGUAUCUCAUGACCCUUUGCUUUGGUUGGUGAUAUUUACCCGUAUUUUAGUUAACUUUUUGUUAUCAUUUUAAGUUACCCGUUUCCUUCAAGAACCAUAAUUUAUUGGUGAAACUAUCUUAAAUAGGCAACCCUUAAGCCCCUUGUUCCUCUUCCUCUGUAAGGUUGAAUGAUUUUUAACAAUACAGAAUACUAGAAUAGGCCACUGCAGACUUCACUAAUCAUGUGUAUCAGAUAUUCAACAUCCUAACAUCCUUUCUUCCUGAAGGAAGUGAAUUGGGCAUCCUUGACUUUGGCUACAUAAAUAAUGAGGGUAUUGCUUCUAUUUUGUAGGAGUCAACAUAAUGUUGUAGGACACAACAAAGUGUCAAAAAACAAAUGCACUUUAUAAAAAAGAUGUUAUUGUUUGGGCUAAGGGAAUGUAUUACUUCACUAAUAGUAAUAUUUAUCGAAUGUAUGCACUAUUUUAUAAUUGCAGUAAGUGAAUAAAUUGGCAAUGCAAUGAAGACAGUGUUUUCCAGGGCUACCAGAUAACUGCACCAUGAAAAGUUUUAAGUGCUUUGCAUCCAGCGGAGGAAUUGAUAAAGUCUUUAAAAUAUUUGGUUUGAAGUCUGGAUCUGAAAAAGCACACUCAGUAACAGCCCUUCAAAUGAACUCAGUGGACUCUAGAUCAGUAUCUAACCAUAAAAGGCAAGGAGCG